UGUUUUUGUGUCUCCAGUCUUACAGUGUGCCAUUCCUCAUGCCUGAAGGAAACAAUUAUUUUCAUCUUUUUGGAGAACGAGAUCUGGAUGGCGUAGUGGCAGCCAUGCCAUCAGAGGCCCCCUGGAACCCAUCCCAGUUCCAAAAAAAAGGAAGCGUAAAGAGGAUAAGGGAACGUAUAUAAAGAAACCUCCCAAUGCGUUCAUGUUUUUCUUAAAAAGCGAGAGGAAGACGGUACAAGAAGAGCUUGGCAUCAGGAACAGUGCCGUUGUAAACAAACUUCUUUCUGAACGUUGGAAGUCAAUGUCAGCAGAAAAAAAAAAAAGGCCUUUCAAACACAAGCCAAAGAGGAAGCUCGUAUUCACGCUUUAAAUAAUCCCGACUGGAGCAACAAAGUCAACUACAACUAUGUUUACACAUCAGUCUUAGAGGUGAUGACGCCAUGACUGUGGAAGUAUUUUAUCAGCUGACUAGAAGUUUCAUGUGUCUGUU
rnacentral:lncRNA from 1 species